UACGUAGGGGGCAAGCGUUGUCCGGAAUCAUUGGGCGUAAAGAGCGCGUAGGCGGCCCGAUAAGUCCGCUGUGAAAGUCAAGGGCUCAACCCUUGAAUGCCGGUGGAUACUGUCGGGCUAGAGUCCGGAAGAGGCGAGUGGAAUUCCUGGUGUAGCGGUGAAAUGCGCAGAUAUCAGGAGGAACACCAAUGGCGAAGGCAGCUCGCUGGGACGGUACUGACGCUGAGGUGCGAAAGCGUGGGGAGCAAACAGG
rnacentral:rRNA from 1 species